CUUAUAAUUUUGAAUUUUUUCGUUAUUCAAGGAAAAAUUGAGUUUUUCUACCUAGCCUUUGACAUUGAAUCAUGACUCAUUUGACUACAACAGAAUUUGGAAACUGAUUUAGGAGAGACGAGGAAAAAAAUAAAAAGUUUACACAGUAUAUGCAGUAACUUCAGGUAGAUGUGAA
rnacentral:lncRNA from 1 species